GCCGCGUGAGUGAUGAAGGCUUUCGGGUCGUAAAACUCUGUUGUUAGGGAAGAACAAGUGCUAGUUGAAUAAGCUGGCACCUUGACGGUACCUAACCAGAAAGCCACGGCUAACCACGUGCCAGCAGCCGCGGUAAUACGUAGGUGGCAAGCGUUGUCCGGAAUUAUUGGGCGUAAAGCGCGCGCAGGCGGUCCUUUAAGUCUGAUGUGAAAGCCCACGGCUCAACCGUGGAGGGUCAUUGGAAACUGGGGGACUUGAGUGCAGAAGAGGAAAGCGGAAUUCCACGUGUAGCGGUGAAAUGCGUAGAGAUGUGGAGGAACACCAGUGGCGAAGGCGGCUUUCUGGUCUGUAACUGACGCUGAGGCGCGAAAGCGUGGGGAGCAAACAGGAUUAGAUACCCUGGUAGUCCACGCCGUAAACGAUGAGUGCUAAGUGUUAGAGGGUUUCCGCCCUUUAGUGCUGCAGCUAACGCAUUAAGCACUCCGCCUGGGGAGUACG
rnacentral:rRNA from 1 species